AAUAUCCUUUUAACAAAUUAUGCGUAUUUAAGGAGAUAGCGCAGCGCAUGCGCAGAACGUAUCUCCUUACCUUUGCACUUUUUGGUAAGAAGAUGUUAACAAAAGUUGUUCGUCAUGAUGAGGGCUACAACUUUGCUUAAUAUCCUUUCAACAAAUUAUGCGUAUUUAAGGAGAUAGGGCUGCGCAUGCGCAGAACGUAUCUCCUUACCUUUGCACUUUUUGGUAAGAAGAUGUU
rnacentral:miRNA from 1 species